UAGAUAGCUCAGUUGGUAGAGCAGAGGACUGAAAAUCCUCGUGUCGCUGGUUCGAUUCCGGCUCUAGG
rnacentral:tRNA from 1 species